UUAGUUGACAAUGACUUGAGGGGAAGUUGCCAUUUGCUUAGUCAGAGGAGUAGUUUAUGGAUAGAUGAGGUGCCUGAAGUUUUACUGUGCAAAGGCAGAGGUGUGAUUGGUUUUGGAAUAUAGCCAAGUGCUGAUCUCAUUGUGAGUUAUGGGGGUGGUCUUUGUCUGAAUUGCAGAGGGAUGGUCGCUCUGAAUCUUGAACUAUUUUUGAUGAUUACUUCUGGUUCUGGCCUUCUGGGUAUUCUCCUUUCUCUUUCCGAUGCACUUUUCUUUGUUUUUUGUCUUGUCGAAGUGAUUGCCUGAAUGCCGAAAAAAGGUUGAAAGCUUCUGUCAGUGCCUAUUUUGAGAUGACUGCUCUUCUCCUUCCCAUGGAAGCAGAGCAUGCCUUUUGUUGCGUGCUUCUUGUCAGCUGGCCCAUGCAUUCGUUUCAGUUGCCCACACGCGUCUGAACCUCCUGCUCUUAUCUGAACCAGCCCGCUUGAACAGAAAUGCGUGGUUAUAUGGUGAUGAUCUGUUGGACCUGAAUUUCAUGUUCGCAGCGCUUCCGCAUCAUAGCAAUGGCUUCCUCCGAAGGGUUCUUGCUCGAUUCCGAAACAAGUUUCAGUGACGAGUUCUAUUUGGAUUCUAAGUUACUAAUAGAUCCCAAGCUUUUGUUUGUCGGCCCGAAGAUUGGAGAAGGUGCGCACGCCAAAGUAUACGAGGGGAAAUAUAAGAACCAGAAUGUUGCCAUCAAAAUAAUUCAGAAAGGGGAAGCACCAGAGGAGAUUGCAAAACGAGCAGCUCGGUUUGCCAGAGAAGUGUCUAUGCUUGCCAGAGUGCAACAUAAGAAUCUGGUGAAGUUUAUUGGGGCCUGUAAGGAACCUGUGAUGGUUGUUGUGACUGAACUUUUGUUGGGCGGUUCAUUGCGCAAAUAUUUGUUGAAUAUGCGGCCGAGAUGUUUGGAUAUGCAGGUGGCAGUCAGUUUUGCCCUGGACAUUGCUCAAGCAAUGGAGUGCCUGCACUCACAUGGUAUCAUUCAUCGUGAUCUGAAACCUGAAAAUUUACUGUUAACGGAGGACCAUAAAACUGUAAAGCUUGUAGACUUUGGUUUAGCAAGGGAGGAGACUUUAACAGAAAUGAUGACCGCAGAAACUGGAACAUACCGAUGGAUGGCUCCAGAGUUGUACAGCACAGUAACUUUAAGGCAUGGAGAGAAAAAACAUUACAAUCACAAGGUUGAUGCUUACAGCUUUGCAAUAGUUUUGUGGGAGCUGUUACACAAUCGUAUGCCAUUUGAAGGCAUGUCAAACUUGCAAGCUGCAUAUGCUGCUGCGUUCAAAAAUGUUAGGCCGAGUGCAGACAACCUUCCAGAGGAUUUGGCUUCCCUUUUGACUUCAUGCUGGCAAGAAGAUCCCAAUUCACGACCCAACUUUAGCCAAAUUGUCAAGAUUCUCCAAGAUUUUUUGCACACUAUCUCACCUCCAACUUCUGCAGUUUCCUCUCACGUGUUUUCCUCCGACAAUGUGCUCCUGCCCCCAGAAUCUCCUGGAACUAGCUCUUUGAUGGCUAUACGAGAUAACUUAGGUGAAAUGACAAAGAUGAAGUUGGCAAGUAAAUCAAAGGGCAUUUUUUUCUGCUUUAAGAAGUGCUGUUGAAUUUGGUAAAGGGAGGAAUCUUUGUAAAAGUGCGUGUACAUGAAACUUCUGAAGAAGGUGAGAACUACAUUGAGAGCAUGGAUGCUAUCUCAACCCUACAUUCUAGAAUCUAAAUGAAUCUCAGUAAUUGGAUUGUGUUUUAUCAAGUCACAGAGCAUCUGCCCACUGACCUUUCAUUGUCUUUGCUUGUUGUUGAGAGGGACUGUAUCUUUUGCCCCCAUUAAUGGUAUAUGAAGCUUUAUCUGUUAAAAAAAUUUUAACUUCAGAUUUUGAAA